UGCGUAGGCGGCGCGGAAAGUUGGGUGUGAAAGCCCUCGGCUCAACCGAGGAAUGGCGCCCAAAACUUCCGUGCUCGAGGAAGACAGAGGUGAGCGGAACUCAGGGUGGAGCGGUGAAAUGCGUUGAUAUCCUGAGGAACACCGGUGGCGAAAGCGGCUCACUGGGUCUUUUCUGACGCUGAGGCACGAAAGCUAGGGUAGCGAACG
rnacentral:rRNA from 1 species